UACGUAGGGGGCAAGCGUUGUCCGGAAUCAUUGGGCGUAAAGCGCGCGUAGGCGGCCCGGAAAGUCGGAUGUGAAAUCCCGGGGCUCAACCCUGGGCCUGCAUCCGAUACUCCCGGGCUGGAGGCAGGUAGGGGAGAUCGGAAUUCCUGGUGUAGCGGUGAAAUGCGCAGAUAUCAGGAGGAACACCGGUGGCGAAGGCGGAUCUCUGGGCCUUGCCUGACGCUGAGGCGCGAAAGCUAGGGGAGCGAACAGG
rnacentral:rRNA from 1 species